rnacentral:rRNA from 1 species
UACGUAGGGGGCAAGCGUUGUCCGGAUUUACUGGGCGUAAAGAGCGCGUAGGCGGAAACGCCAGUCCGGCUUGAAAGCCCCCGGCUCAACCGGGGAGAGUGGCUGGAAACUGCGUUUCUUGAGGGCGAGAGAGGAGGGUGGAAUUCCUGGUGUAGCGGUGAAAUGCGUAGAGAUCAGGAGGAACACCCGUGGCGAAGGCGGCCCUCCGGCUCGACCCUGACGCUGAGGCGCGAAAGCGUGGGGAGCGAACGGG